CCAGACUCCUACGGGAGGCAGCAGUGGGGGAUAUUGCACAAUGGGGGAAACCCUGAUGCAGCGACGCCGCGUGGGUGAAGAAGCGCCUCGGCGCGUAAAGCCCUGACAGCAGGGAAGAAAAUGACGGUACCUGAAGAAGAAGCCCCGGCUGACUACGUGCCAGCAGCCGCGGUAAUACGUAGGGGGCAAGCGUUAUCCGGAUUUACUGGGUGUAAAGGGAGCGUAGACGGCCAUGCAAGCCUGGAGUGAAAGCCCGGGGCCCAACCCCGGGACUGCUCUGGGAACUGUGCGGCUGGAGUGCAGGAGAGGUAAGUGGAAUUCCUAGUGUAGCGGUGAAAUGCGUAGAUAUUAGGAGGAACACCAGUGGCGAAGGCGGCUUACUGGACUGUAACUGACGUUGAGGCUCGAAAGCGUGGGGAGCAAACAGGAUUAGAUACCCGGGUAUAA
rnacentral:rRNA from 1 species